GAGGGUUUGCCCAGCCUCUCCCCGGGGGUCGGGGGGAGGAGCGCAGGGCUCGUGGGGGCUCAGCCAGGCCUGGGCUGCAGAGGAGGCUUCCCCACCACAGCUGUGUUGAGCACCCCUGUCUCUGUGGGGGCUGGGCUGGCUGGGGACAGAGGCCCCCAAAGGGGUGGGCCAUCUCCUUGGAAUCAGUGGGUCCACAUCACAGCCUGAACUCCAAGCAUCUGAGUUUCCCAAUAGGCUUUUCACAACCAAGCUUUUCAGCCUGGAGGCUCCGGGUGGCCCACAAACAUCUCACCGGAGAAAACCGGGAGAGAAGCCGCAAUGUCUCCGCAGGUGCCCCGGCUCCGCCUUCGCCAGGCCGGUGCGGUGUGGCCGAGGGGGCUCCUCCGAGAAUUCCGGGGUGCAGAGGAGAAGCUCUACUCCGAGCUUCCCCACGUCCCCCUGGUGGCACCUACCCCGGGUCCCAGAGGAGCCCAGGCCCAUCCUGGCUCAGGGCUGCGUCCAGGGUUUGCCUGGACAUCCCUUGUCCCCGCCAGGGCAAGCAAGCCCUGCUGAGGCUGCUUCUGAGCCCGACUGCCAGCGGGACGGCCCCACUCCAUCCUGGCUCCCUAAAUCCCGCGGGGGCUGCCUGGCCCUCCCCUGCGUGGGCAGCGAUGAUGGGGCUUAGGGAUGUGUCCUCUGCAAUGCCCCGGCCAGCUGCUCACUCCAGCUCGGGGCCCCUGGCCAGCCUCCCGGCUUCUCUCUCCACCACUGGCUUUUGUCUCUCUCUGACUCUGUCUCCCUUGGUCUCUGUCUGUCUAUCUCUCUUUGUCUCGCUUGGUAUGUCUCUGUCUUCCUCUUUCUUUCUGUCUCUGUCUCCAUCUGGCUCUGUUUCUGUCUCUGUCUCCCUCUGUCUGUGUCUCCUGUUUCUGUCUCUAUCUGCCUCUAUCUCUGUUUCCCCAAGCCUCCCUGUCCCUGUGUCCUUACCUCACUGUCUCUCUCUGUCUCUCAUCUUCUUCUAUGUCUCUGUCUGUCUCUUUCUGUCUCCCUCUUUGUUUCCGUCUCCCUGUCUAUCUCCCUCGAUCUGUCUGCUGUCUCUGUCUCCCUUUGUCUUCCUCUAUCUCUCUCAAGUCUCCCUGUCUCUGUCUCCCUAUCU
ensembl:lncRNA